rnacentral:snoRNA from 2 species
ACAUGUGAUGAAGACCUUUGGGACUGACAAAGUGAUUGAGUGGCGGCUGUCUGACA